UACGGGGGGGGCAAGCGUUGUUCGGAAUUACUGGGCGUAAAGGGCUCGUAGGCGGCCAACUAAGUCGGAUGUGAAAUCCCUCGGCUUAACCGGGGAACUGCGUCUGAUACUGGAUGGCUUGAGUUUGGGAGAGGGAUGCGGAAUUCCAGGUGUAGCGGUGAAAUGCGUAGAUAUCUGGAGGAACACCGGUGGCGAAGGCGGCAUCCUGGACCAACACUGACACUGAGGAGCGAAAGCCAGGGGAGCAAACAGG
rnacentral:rRNA from 1 species